GAGGCUUUAGCUUAAUAAAAGUGUCUGAGUUGCAUUCAGAAGAUAUUGGUUAGUUUCUAAUAAGUCUUA
rnacentral:tRNA from 1 species